rnacentral:ncRNA from 2 species
UAAAUUUGCCGCAUAUUUGGUUUUCAAGGGUUGUAACAACCCGCGAAUGAAAAGGGAAUCCGGUGCUUGGUUUAUUCCAAAAUUCCGGAACUGUACCCGCAGCUGUAGGUUCAUUAGUUAUUACUGAAACACGCACACCACUGACAGACACUUGACUGUUGGGAAGGUAUCAGUAGUAUGAACAAGUCAGAAUACCUGCCAAUAAUUAAUUAACAAA